AGAGUUGAGAGUAAUGAGCUGAAGAUCGAAGUCUAGUUCUGCCAUUGACUCAGAUGGAGGCCUUUGGAAGCUCUGAUUUGCCAUUCAGACCCAGGGCAGAGACUGAAAUCCAUACCUGCUCUGUCUCCAAACAGGUCAUUAGAAGACACGAAGCCUCAAAAGGGAUUACAACCUAUGGUCCACAUCCUACUAGUUGUUCUGUGCUAGAGGACCCUGAAGGCUGUUCCAUGAUUGGUGUCUAAAAAGACAAAAAACAGACAAUUGUGGGAGUGGAGGGAUGUAUAUCACACAUGCAGUGUGAUCAGGGUGACUGGCAGGGUUUAUUAAAAACUAAAGCCCUCUCCCCUCAUUGACUAUUCAAAAUGGGAUUGGAGGUGUUAUCACUCCAUUAACACAGGAUGGACUAUAGCUGUACACUGUGUGGGGAAAACAUCUCAGUGAGUUGCCCAGGGUGCACAGAAAGCGGCAGAGUGUCUUCAUUAAUGUUGAGACCACCAGACAUGAUGGGUCAGCAUUUGUGAAUCUUAAAGUUUAAAUAAGCACCUGUUCUCUGCAUCUAACUUACGUGGGGAGAGACUCUUAUAUCUGCCUACUGCAGAGUUUCAUUCACCUCCCUCAGAAGCAUCCGGUGCUGACCUCAUUCGGAGCCAGGAUAUUGGACUAGCUAGACCUGGAGUCUGAUCCAAUGUGGUACCCCAAGUCAACAGGACUACAAGAGUAAGCUCUACUCAACUUAUAAAGCUACAGCU